CCCUUAGAUGUCCUGGGCUGCACGCGCGCUACACUGAUGUGUCCAGUAAGCACCUAACCUCUUCCGAAAGGAACGGGUAACCUUUGCAAAGCACAUCGUGAUGGGGAUAGAUUAUUGCAAUUAUUAGUCUUGAACGAGGAAUUCCUAGUAAGCACAAGUCAUCAGCUUGUGUUGAUUACGUCCCUGCCCUUUGUACACACCGCCCGUCGCUCCUACCGAUUGAAUGUUCCGGUGAGCUCUUCGGACUGCGCGGUCUGCAGUUUCUGCGUUCCGUGCGGAAAGUUGCGCGAACCUUAUCAUUUAGAGGAAGGAGAAGUCGUAACA
rnacentral:rRNA from 1 species